GAGGGUAUAGCUCAGUGGUAGAGCACAUGCUUAGCAUGCACAAGGUCCUAGGUUCAAUUCCCAGUACCUCCA
rnacentral:tRNA from 1 species